rnacentral:lncRNA from 1 species
UCUCGCUCUGUCACCCAGGCUGGAGUGCAGUGGCGUGAUCUCGGCUCAUUGCAACCUCCGCCUCCUGGGUUCAAGCAAUUCUCCUGCCUCAGCCUCCUGAGUAGCUGGGAUUACAGGCGCCCGCCACCACUCCCAGCUAAUUUUUGUAUUUUUAGUAGGGACGAGGUUUCACCAUGUUGGUCAGGCUGGUCUCAAACUCCUGACCUCGUGAUCUGCCCUCCUUGGCCUUCCAAAGUGCUGGGAUUACAGGCGUGAUGGAGAUGAUACUCCCUAAAUCACAAGGGUGUGGUGUGAAGAUGAAAUGGCUGCACGUGACAGAGGAGUUGGAGAACAGGAAGCAAGUGGAUUACUUGGAUGAACUGUGAUGGGCCCAAGAAGAACUAAGCCAAUCACUCCAGGGGGCGUUUUCCCAGGAUCCAGGCAGAGAGCUGAUUCCAGCAUCCACGUUGUAUCCCCCUCCCGCUGUGGCCGGGGUCUCCAAGAGCCGGGCACCCACUGCAGAGCUUCCAAGCCCAGGCCCAUUUGAACACAGGAGGACUUUUGAGGUUCAUUUAACCCCAAAAUCAGUGAUUCUACAUCUCAAGCUCAUAUUUUGAAGUGUUUACGGGGUUGCAGUGAGCCAAGAUUGCGCCAUUGCACUCCAGCCUGGGUGAGAGAGCGAGACUCCAUCUCUGAAUAAAUAAAGUAACAAAAUACAUUUCAGUCUCGAGCUCCAGUUCCCUGCCAGGAAGAGCUGAAGCUGAGCUCUGGCACCCCCUGCUUCUUCUCCCUCAUCCCUAAAACAUGUGGGGUACUGGGUGCCAAAGGAGAUCUGAAGAUGGCCACCACUCAGACCAGCAGUAGAGGCCAAGAAGGUGGUGAGAAAUUUUAAGGUAUUGUAGCAUAUGCUCUCCAGGGUGAGGACACAGGAUGCUGGGACCUAAGGAGGGAGAAGUUAACCCAGAGAGGGCCCAAGUCAGGGAGGACCUGACUGUGGUGACAGAGCCAGUCAUGCUAAUAAUAGGAGCAGUGGUUUUGCAAUCACAAAUAUUGGUCUGGGGGACUGCGGGCCCAAUGUGGUGGGAGUUUUAGAGCAGGGACCCCUCCACUGUACGUGGAUUCUUAUACUUGCUAAGUUGCACUGAAUUCUCAAUCAACCCAUUUGGAGGCUCUCACCAAGACAGGAGUCCCUUUGAAUUGGUAGGAUGUUAAAAGCUUCCUCCAGCCAUUGACCCUGGGUCCCAUUGGUAGAAAUCAGAUAAUAAAUCAGAUUUUCCAGGUAAUCCUCAGUUUAAUGUCCAUUCCCUCAUUCAAUCAAUUAUUCAAUUACAAAUCAUUUUUAAUAUGAUUUUAUGGUUCAGGAAUUCAGGCAGGGCUCAGAUGGGCAGUUCUUCUGCCCCACAUGGCAUUGGCUGAUAACAGGCUACCCCAAGGAAAUCACAGUGUAAUGGGAGAUGGGAAAUAGGUUAACACAAAGUUACUAUACUACAAGAAAAAUCUUCAAAUCUUCAAUCUUCAUUCUUCAUGGGUGUGAGUCUUCUCUGGUGGAGAAGAGAGUUCUUUGCUAAAUUAUAUUCCUGUGUUAGCCAGCCAAGCACACACGGAGUACAGCUGUCCCUUGCUAUUCAUGGCAGAUUGAUCCCAGACACUGCCACCCCCAGCCCUGUGAACACCAAAACCCAUGGAUGCUCAAGUCCUUGAUAUAAAAUGGUAUGGUAUUUGCACAUAACCUACACACAUCUUCCCAUAUACUUUAAAUCAUCACUAGAUUACUUAUAAUACCUAAUGCAAUGUAAAUGCUAUGUAAGUAGUUGCUACGCUGUAUUGCUUAGGGAAUAAUGACAAGAAAAAAAGGCUGUACAACUUCAGUACAAAUGCUAUCAUUCAUUUUUUUAUCUGAAUAUUAUGAUCCAUGAAUACAGAGGGCUGGCUGUAAAAAGAAUGUACAGUUUGGUACUUUACUCCUAGUUUAAGUCAUCUCUUUCGGCCCAUACAGGUUGCCUGGGGCAGGGCGGUGGUGAGUGUGUUGAGUCGGCCCUAUACCCUGUUCCACAAUGCCUGGUGUCCUUGGCACGUAGCUUGCAGGGCUGCUUCCAUGGAUGGCUGCCUCAUCCCCCACCCCUCCUUCAUGGCACCCUCUUUUCUCCAACUCCUUUUCCUCUGCUGAGUCCUACCUUUUCUUGCCAGACCAGGGAUUUGCCAAUUAUUCUGGAUGGGCACAGGGAAGGGGCCCUCAGAUCCUGCAGAGGGAGCAUCUGAAAGACAAUGAGACCCUGUACACAACCAAGCUGAGCCUCCUCCUCUCUACCCCUGCCUGUGGCUCUCCCGUCUCCUGGCAUUCUAACCUGCCACUGAAUUCUUCCCACGCCAAACGCAGGUUAGGAACCUAAGCUCGGAUGAAAUGCUGGCUUAGACCUCAUUGCUACUGAGAAGCAGAAACCACACUUUUUAGUUGGUAGAGGUGGAUGUGGAUUGGGGCCAUAAAGUUUCCUCAAUCAUUGAAUAAGGAUUUCAUUAUUUGGACUAACUAAAUACAUUAGAUUAUUUAUACUAACUAAAUAAAUUAGAUUUAUUUUUCGAAGUUUAAAAUCAUUUUCAAUAGUGACGAAAAAGGCUGUAGAUGAGAUGGGAGAAUCUUUCGACGCCAAAUUCUUCCCAUCUCCUGCCUAGUAUGUAUCACUACACCUUGCCCAGAGAGACGGAGGACGCGCACAGCCCGAGGAGGCAGAGCCCCAGACGGGAAUGGGCUUUUCAGAGGUGGGGUGCGGGCGAGGGGACGAUGCAUUAUUUUUAAUAUUUGAUUUAUUUUUCCAACUGGACUUCUUCCCGGGGCUCUUUCUGGGCCCAGCUGCCUUUGUGAUCCCGCGCCCCGGUCCUCGGCCUCUCACCUCCAGCGCCGGGGCGCCCCCUGCUGUCGGAAGCGGCUGUGACCGGGCAGAGGUGCUAUCUGGGACUCUGGGUUCUCAGCCCGGGGACAGCGAACCGAGGGGCAGAUGAUCCAUCAGAAAAGAGCCGGCACUGCCCAGCCCCGCGCCCCUGCCCCUGCCUUUUUCCGGGAGCGCGCCGCGCCGCACCCGCUACGGCCGCUUGACCCCAUCUUUGAGCCCGGCCCCAAGCUCUGGGACCGUCGUGCCCCUCAUCAAGGAAGAGCCAAGGACCCCAAGGAGAAGGUAGAAAGGAGUUCAUGAAGGCAGAAAUGCCUGGGGCCCACGAACAUCCCAGUGUGGCCCUGGACGGGACAUCAUGCUGGGCAACACAGCUAAAAUGCGGGUGAAGACCAGAUUUCUUGCACAUGGCGGUGACGGGAUGCUCCCUAGAGAGCUUCAAGUGGAUUCUUUGCUUUUUAUUUUCUCUCUUAAUAAAAAUGUAUGAUGUUUACAUUGUCAGA